GACGAACGCUGGCGGCGUGCUUAACACAUGCAAGUCGAACGGAAAGGCCCUGCUUUUGUGGGGUGCUCGAGUGGCGAACGGGUGAGUAACACGUGAGUAACCUGCCCUUGACUUUGGGAUAACUUCAGGAAACUGGGGCUAAUACCGGAUAGGAGCUCCUGCUGCAUGGUGGGGGUUGGAAGUUUCGGCGGUUGGGGAUGGACUCGCGGCUUAUCAGCUUGUUGGUGGGGUAGUGGCUUACCAAGGCUUUGACGGGUAGCCGGCCUGAGAGGGUGACCGGCCACAUUGGGACUGAGAUACGGCCCAGACUCCUACGGGAGGCAGCAGUGGGGAAUAUUGCACAAUGGGCGGAAGCCUGAUGCAGCAACGCCGCGUGCGGGAUGACGGCCUUCGGGUUGUAAACCGCUUUCGCCUGUGACGAAGCGUGAGUGACGGUAAUGGGUAAAGAAGCACCGGCUAACUACGUGCCAGCAGCCGCGGUGAUACGUAGGGUGCGAGCGUUGUCCGGAUUUAUUGGGCGUAAAGGGCUCGUAGGUGGUUGAUCGCGUCGGAAGUGUAAUCUUGGGGCUUAACCCUGAGCGUGCUUUCGAUACGGGUUGACUUGAGGAAGGUAGGGGAGAAUGGAAUUCCUGGUGGAGCGGUGGAAUGCGCAGAUAUCAGGAGGAACACCAGUGGCGAAGGCGGUUCUCUGGGCCUUUCCUGACGCUGAGGAGCGAAAGCGUGGGGAGCGAACAGGCUUAGAUACCCUGGUAGUCCACGCUGUAAACGGUGGGUACUAGGUGUGGGGUCCAUUCCACGGGUUCCGUGCCGUAGCUAACGCUUUAAGUACCCCGCCUGGGGAGUACGGCCGCAAGGCUAAAACUCAAAGGAAUUGACGGGGCCCCGCACAAGCGGCGGAGCAUGCGGAUUAAUUCGAUGCAACGCGUAGAACCUUACCUGGGUUUGACAUGGAUCGGGAGUGCUCAGAGAUGGGUGUGCCUCUUUUGGGGUCGGUUCACAGGUGGUGCAUGGCUGUCGUCAGCUCGUGUCGUGAGAUGUUGGGUUAAGUCCCGCAACGAGCGCAACCCUUGUUCACUGUUGCCAGCACGUUAUGGUGGGGACUCAGUGGAGACCGCCGGGGUCAACUCGGAGGAAGGUGGGGAUGACGUCAAGUCAUCAUGCCCCUUAUGUCCAGGGCUUCACGCAUGCUACAAUGGCUGGUACAGAGAGUGGCGAGCCUGUGAGGGUGAGCGAAUCUCGGAAAGCCGGUCUCAGUUCGGAUUGGGGUCUGCAACUCGACCUCAUGAAGUCGGAGUCGCUAGUAAUCGCAGAUCAGCAACGCUGCGGUGAAUACGUUCCCGGGGCU
rnacentral:rRNA from 1 species